rnacentral:rRNA from 1 species
CCUACGGGUGGCAGCAGUGAGGAAUAUUGGUCAAUGGCCGGAAGGCUGAACCAGCCAUGCCGCGUGAAGGUCAGUGCCCUAUGGGCGUUAAACUUCUUUUGUGCGGGAGCAAUAAUGGUCACGUGUGGCCAGACGAGAGUACCGUACGAAUAAGCAUCGGCUAACUCCGUGCCAGCAGCCGCGGUAAUACGGGGGAUGCAAGCGUUAUUCGGAUUUAGUGGGUUUAAAGGGUGCGUAGGCUGGGUGGUAAGUCAACGGGGAAAUGCCCCGGGUCAACGGGGUGAAGUGCCAUUGAUACUGCCGUGCUGGAAUGCGGAUGCCGUGGGAGGAAUGUGUGGUGUAGCGGUGAAAUGCAUAGAGAUCACACAGAACACCGAUUGCGAAGGCAUCUCACGAAUCCGCGAUUGACGCUGAUGCACGAAAGCGUGGGUAUCAAACAGGAUUAGAUACCCCGGUAGUC